GUCCUUGCCUUAACGAUGUAUACUUGGUGUAGUUAGGCUCAACCCUGACUGUACCGUAGCCAACGCGAUAAGUAUACCGCCUGGGGAGUACGCUCGCAAGGGUAAACUCAAAGAAUUGACGGGGACCCGCACAAGCAGUGGAGCAUGUGGUUUAAUUCGAUGCAACGCGAAGAACCUUACCUGGAUUUGACAUGCAGUUGACCGUUACAGAAAUGUAACUUUCUCGCAAGAGACAGCUGCACAGGUGCUGCAUGGCUGUCGU
rnacentral:rRNA from 1 species